UACAGAGGGUGCUAGCGUUAAUCGGAUUUACUGGGCGUAAAGCGUGUGUAGGCGGUUUGUUAAGUCGGGUGUGAAAUCCCUGGGCUCAACCGUGGGAAUUGCAUUCGAUACUGGCAAGCUAGAGUACGGUAGAGGGCGGCGGAAUUCCGGGUGUAGCGGUGAAAUGCGUAGAUAUCCGGAGGAACACCGAUGGCGAAGGCAACCGCCUGGGCCUGUACUGACGCUGAGACACGAAAGCGUGGGGAGCAAACAGGG
rnacentral:rRNA from 1 species